rnacentral:rRNA from 1 species
GAUGAACGCUGGCGGCGUGCUUAACACAUGCAAGUCGAACGAAGCACUUAAAUGGAUUUCUUCGGAUUGAAGUUUUUGUGACUGAGUGGGCGACGGGUGAAGGUAACGCGUGGUAACCUGCCUCAUACAGGGGGAUAACAGUUAGAAAUGACUGCUAAUACCGCAUAAGCGCACAGUGCUGCAUGGCACAGUGUGAAAAACUCCGGUGGUAUGAGAUGGACCCGCGUCUGAUUAGCUAGUUGGUGGGGUAACGGCCUACCAAGGCGACGAUCAGUAGCCGGCCUGAGAGGGUGAACGGCCACAUUGGGACUGAGACACGGCCCAA